CAAUAGCGUAUAUUAAAGCUGUUGCAGUUAAAAGCUCGUAGUUGGAUCUCGGGUCCAGACUAGCGGUUCACCUCGCGGUGAUUACUGCCCGUUCUGACCUACCUACCGGUUGUCCCUUGGUGCUCUUGACUGAGUGUCUCGGGUGGCCGGAACGUUUACUUUGAAAAAUUAGAGUUGAUUCAAAGCAGGCAGUACGCCUGAAUAGCCGUGCAUGGAAUAAUGGAAUAGGACCUCGGUUCUAUUUUGUUGGUUUUCGGAAGUCGAGGUAAUGAUUAAGAGGGACAGACGGGGCAUUGCGUACUGGGCCGCCAGAGGUGAAAUUCUUUAACUGGCUCAUGACGAACCACUGCGAAAGCAUUUGCCAAGAAUGUUUUCAUUAAUCAAGAACGAAAGUCAGAGGGUCGAAGACGAUUAGAUACCA
rnacentral:rRNA from 1 species